rnacentral:rRNA from 1 species
GUGCCAGCAGCCGCGGUAAUACGUAGGUGGCAAGCGUUGUCCGGAUUUACUGGGCGUAAAGAGCGCGCAGGCGGUCGGAUAAGUCGAAUGUGAAAGCCCCUGGCUCAACCAGGGAGGGUCAUUCGAUACUGUUCGACUCGAAGGCAGGAGAGGGAAGUGGAAUUCCGGGUGUAGUGGUGAAAUGCGUAGAUAUCCGGAGGAACACCAGUGGCGAAGGCGACUUUCUGGCCUGUUCUUGACGCUGAGGCGCGAAAGCUAGGGGAGCAAACGGGAUUAGAUACCCCCGUAGUCC